rnacentral:rRNA from 1 species
GACGACCCGUGCGAACGUUGUUCGGAAUCACUGGGCUUAAAGGGCGCGUAGGCGGGGUGGACAGUCUAUGGUGAAAUCCUCCGGCUCAACCGGAGAACUGCCGUGGAUACUGCCACUCUCGAGGGGUGUAGGGGCAUGCGGAACUUCGGGUGGAGCGGUGAAAUGCGUAGAUAUCCGAAGGAACGCCGGUGGCGAAAGCGGCGUGCUGGACACCUUCUGACGCUGAGGCGCGAAAGCCAGGGGAGCAAACGGG